GGAGUUGGGUGGAGGAGCGAGUGGGACGUUAACUGGCCAAUAGUUUGCAACUGCCGGUCAACACGCGCAGCCUACUCAGCGCUGCUCGGGAGGCGCGGGACGCCGCCUCCACGUGCGCCGCGCUCCUCCCAGUGCCCGGGACGGUGUCGGGGGCGGGCUGCACGGCGAGAAGAGCAAAAUAAAACCAGCCCGAGAGGCCCUGGCUGGGGUUGAGACUGCAGGAGUAACUUCUGCACCGAGGCAGCGCGCAGCCAGUCGGGGAAGAACUCUGCAACCUGACCGAAAGAAAGUCCGACCCACCCGGGAGGGCUGCCAGGAUGCUGGAGCGAGUGUCAGGGUCCGAGACUCCCAAGUCGGGCGAGGGCUCCUGCCCCUGGCCAUUGGGUACCCCCCUCGGACCAACACCCCCGUCCCGCUUCAGAGCGUCGGCCCCACAGACCUAGGUGGGCAAGAUACCAAAUACUUUUCUUGGAAUACAUCAUCUUGAUUGAAAACUACUAGGAUAUUUUUGAAAAAAUAGCUCAUUAGCUGGCUGGAAUCUCACUCUGUCACUCAGGCUAGAGUGCAGAGGCACAGUCACAAUUCACUAUAGCCUCCAUCUCCUGGCUCAAGUGAUCCUCCCACCUUAGCCUCUCCAGUAGCUAGGAUUACAGGAGCUUUGGACCAUGGGAGUUGGGAAGGUGAUCUGGCUCAGGGCCAUUUUUCUUCCAAGUCCAGAAGAGAUAAAGAAAAAGGAAUCAAAGCAUACCACUACCAAAAAAUCAUCAAGUUACAAAGGAAGACUAUGAGAGGAAGAAAGGAAUAAAGAAACUACAAAACAGUAAGAAAACAAUGAAUAAAAUGGC